CAGUCGCCGCGGGAAUACGUAGGUGGCAAGCGUUGUCCCGAAUUAUUGGGCGUAAAGGGCUCGCAGGCGGUUUCUUAAGUCUGAUGCGAAAGCCCCCGGCUCAACCGGGGAGGGUCAUUGGAAACUGGGAAACUUGAGUGCAGAAGAGGAGAGUGGAAUUCCACGUGUAGUGGUGAAAUGCGUAGAGAUGUGGAGGAACACCAGUGGCGAAGGCGACUCUCUGGUCUGUAACUGACGCUGAGGAGCGAAAGCGUGGGGAGCGAACAGGAUUAGAUACCCCAGUAGUCCCUGUCUCUUAUAC
rnacentral:rRNA from 1 species